rnacentral:rRNA from 1 species
UACGGAGGAUCCGAGCGUUAUCCGGAUUUAUUGGGUUUAAAGGGUGCGCAGGCGGGAGAUUAAGUCGGCGGUGAAAUUUUGCAGCUCAACUGUAAAAGUGCCUUCGAAACUGGUUUCCUUGAGUGUAGAUGAAGUAGGCGGAAUUUGUGGUGUAGCGGUGAAAUGCUUAGAUAUCACGAGGAACUCCGAUUGCGCAGGCAGCUUACUAAACUACUACUGACGCUCAGGCACGAAGGCGUGGGGAUCAAACAGGAUUAGAUACCCGUGUAGU